CUUCGGUAGGUCUUCGGCUGCCAUCUUGUGUGUGGCUGGGACUGGACCUCGGCUGCUGAAAGCUUACUUAGCGGCCCCAGGUGUAGAGGGGUCCUGAGGGAGCGGUGGAGGAGAGGUGGGCCCUGAAGGAACAGACCCGGCGCCUUCCCACUUGCCGGAAAGGGGUUUUUCCUGGCUGAGGCUCACGCUGGCUAAGUAGCGGAGGGGCUCCCAAGCUUGGUUUGUUCGUCAUGGUUGGGUUUGGCGGCGGCUCAGAUGCGGGAACCCUGCUGCCUUGGGUUCCAGCGAGCUAUUCCGAAAACAGAUGUCACGGAAAGAUGCCGUCAACCUCUGUUACGGAUGAAGUUGGCUGGUGAACUGCCUCAUUGGGGAAGUUGACAAGGCUGAGAAUUAAUGGAGGGAGAGGGAGUCACCACUCUCAAGUUCGAAGGAGACGUCUUCGUUUUAUACCUUUUGUGAGAAACUGGAUGCUAAAGUUAACUUUUCUCGGUAAUUAACCUCUGACCAAGGCCAUUCUUCGGUAGUAGUUUUAUUUAUUAGUGUGCAGCCAGAAUCCUGCAAUGGUCGUUUUUCAAAGCUGGAAAGUCGUGGUGUUUGCAGAAACAGUUGAAGUGAAGGAAGAAUUUGUCAAAUCUUGAUUUCCCUCGUUGCGACCCAGAUUCGUCGAAAACGUAGGAGACUUUGGGCCUGCCUUACACGAACAUUUGGAAGGCAUACAAGAAUACAAGAAGAAAAUAAUCACCAGUGAUCCAACUGAUAUUAACAUUUUGGUAUUCUUUCAUCUUCAAUUGGAAGGAAAUGUUUAUGUGAAAAACAAGAAUUCUCCGGUGAAUUGCUGCUGUGUGUCGCUCCUUUCCUUUCAUUGGUGC